rnacentral:rRNA from 1 species
UACGAAGGGGGCUAGCGUUGCUCGGAAUCACUGGGCGUAAAGGGUGCGUAGGCGGGUCUUUAAGUCAGGGGUGAAAUCCUGGAGCUCAACUCCAGAACUGCCUUUGAUACUGAAGAUCUUGAGUUCGGGAGAGGUGAGUGGAACUGCGAGUGUAGAGGUGAAAUUCGUAGAUAUUCGCAAGAACACCAGUGGCGAAGGCGGCUCACUGGCCCGAUACUGACGCUGAGGCACGAAAAGCGUGGGGAGCAAACAGG